rnacentral:rRNA from 1 species
AGCGAACGCUGGCGGCAGGCUUAACACAUGCAAGUCGAGCGGGCAUCUUCGGAUGUCAGCGGCAGACGGGUGAGUAACACGUGGGAACGUACCCUUCGGUUCGGAACAACUCUGGGAAACUGGAGCUAAUACCGGAUACGCCCUUAUGGGGAAAGGUUUACUGCCGAAGGAUCGGCCCGCGUCUGAUUAGCUAGUUGGUGGGGUAACGGCCUACCAAGGCGACGAUCAGUAGCUGGUCUGAGAGGAUGAUCAGCCACACUGGGACUGAGACACGGCCCAGACUCCUACGGGAGGCAGCAGUGGGGAAUAUUGGACAAUGGGCGCAAGCCUGAUCCAGCCAGGCCGCGGGAGUGAUGAAGGCCUUAGGGUGGUAAAGCUCUUUUGGCCGGGACGAUAAUGACGGUACCGGAAGAAUAAGCCCCGGCUAACUUCGU